ACAAAGGCCCUUUUCAGGGCCAAACAAAAUUACGUUUGGAGCUUGA
rfam:Ixodes scapularis strain Wikel colony gcontig_1108379305028, whole genome shotgun sequence.